rnacentral:rRNA from 1 species
UACAGAGGUCUCAAGCGUUGUUCGGAUUCAUUGGGCGUAAAGGGCGCGUAGGCGGCGGGGUAAGUCUGGUGUGAAAUCCCGGGGCUCAACCCCGGAACUGCACUUGAUACUGUAGUGCUUGAGGACUGGAGAGGAGAUCGGAAUUCAUGGUGUAGCAGUGAAAUGCGUAGAUAUCAUGAGGAAGACCAGUGGCGAAGGCGGAUCUCUGGACAGUUCCUGACACUGAGGCACGAAGGCCAGGGGAGCAAACGGG